UAAGCUGCUGGGAAUCUCGGAGAACACUACAGCACUUAAAAUGGCAGCUCCUGUCUGUGGACACCCUUGAUGUCUAGAAGCUGACUAAGGCUAGGGUUCUGUUGCUCCUUGGCUAAGGGCACCACUUUCAGAUAAAAACAUAGACCUGAAUGGCAUCAUCCAGUAUCCAAGGAAACCAUGAUGAGGACUUCUAAGUACUUUUAGAAUGGAUGUAUAGAUAAUGCAGCUUAUAAACUGAUGAAGAGGAAAAGGCUGAAGAGAAAUGGAAGUAUAAUAUAGCCCAAGUCAUUGACUCAUUCGUCAUACAGUGAAUGAAUUCCUAUUGUGUGUCAAAGGCUAUGAGAAGUGAUACACAAGAGGUAAAUCAAGGUGACUCUGGAUAGAGACAAGAAAAAGGUACUUACACUUCAGCCAAAUCAAACAUAAGACAUUUAGAGGAAGAAAGGAGGCGAUGGUGCCAAAAUUUGGCAUUCUAGGAUGUUACAGCAGAAAAAAGAAAAUGAGAAUGCACAAAAUCUUCACACUAGACUCUUCCCUGGUCCAAGUUGUGGGUGAUGCUGCAGGUUCCAGGAGACUGUGAUCAAAUUUCAGCCUGAAAUUUUGGAGCUUACUCAUCAGAGGAGAAAUAUCACGAGCUAUUUGCUCUCUGUGCUGUAACAUAGCUCUGGCAAGCCUGGAAGUUAUGUUGAGAUCGUCAAAUCUAUAGUCCAGGACCAUCUUUGUGAAUCAUGAAACCAUAUGCCACUGGUUGUCUGAUUUGAAAAGGAAACCAACAAAAAACCCCAAUUCUGCACCAACAAAGCCGGUGAUAAGAUCAGACCAUGCCAAGGGCCAUUUGACCAUCUUAUACCUUCUGAAUCUGCAUUUAAAAAAAAAAAAUCUUUGCUACUGUUUGAACCAUGUAAAAUACCAGAACUCCUGUAGUGCUAACAAGGAAUAAAGAUCUUGCACCAGAUGGUGCCUCUUGUCUCCAUCUAUCUCUAGCCCAAACAAUCUGCCAGAGUUUUGAAGAAAAAGGCGAUGUGAUCAUGUUGCAAAGUAUAUGAAGAAACAGUAUGAAAAGUAAUCUGGCUGAAACGAUGGAAUCCAGAAGGAAGUGAAUGAUUAUUAUCAGUCUUUGAGCCUGUGGAUGAGGGCAAUGCUAUCUGCAUUUUAGUUCAUAAAAAAAUGGCAUGCUUAAGUAUAACUGUAAGAUAAGGAAAACACCUGCAAUGAGAAGAUACUGAAUUUGAAGGACUCAGAGGCCCUUUGGUGUGGCACAACUUCAAGAGAAGAAAGCCUCAAUCCUUGAAUUAUUGUGAAGAAGAUAUUUACACUACAGCUAUAUAAGACUGUUACACGAGAGAUAAGUAAACCUAUUUAUUAUGUCAUCAAAGUUUGAAAUAUACCUAUUCCAUUAAUUAGUGUUACCUUAAUAAGAACACAUACUUCACAGAUUAAACUUUCCUUUCUCUUUCUGUUUCUUCUGUUGCUAUCUCAGCAGUGGGAGAAAGAAUAAUUGUACCAACUGGUUGAGGAUUAACUUUGUCUUGCAAUGGCAAGUUUCAUUACCCAUCCAUGUAUAUUACCACCACAUAUCUCAAGUGUUCUUCCUUUCUGGUCUCAUUAUUAUAACUAUACUCUAGACUUCUUUUAUUUGAACUUUCAAUGCAGCAAGACCUUCUUAACUAGACUCGGAGCCCUUAUAAUGCUCCUCUUCUAAUUCUUGCCAUGUGAUAAGAAUCAUCUGUUCAGAAAACCCCUAAGGCCUGCUAACUAUCUAAAGUAGCAGUAAAUAACUAGAGGUGCUAGGAUGCCUGUGACCUCUAAACAUAUCUUGCAUUGCUGAUGAGAUGUGCUUAUUUUUUUUUAAUGUUGUUGUCACUCUUCAAAAAUUGAGAUAGUAAGCAUUUUAGAUUUCUCCUCUUGACAAAUGAAUCAUCUGGCAGAAUUAGUUCACUAUUCUCACCUGGUAGCUCUCAGCUACAACAAAGCAUGCACUCUACAAUUUGUCCUUAUCCUCACCUGUAUUAUUCAGGGUUCUUCAGCAAAACAGAAUUAAUUGGGUGCAUUCAUAUAUACUUCAUGCAUGCAUGUGUGUCUGUUCAUGUGUGUAUGUGUGUGUGCACAUGGGGGAAGGAGGGAGAGAGGUACAGGGAGAGAGAUAGAUGAAGAGAGAGAGAGAGCAAGAGGAAGGAGGGAAAGACAAACAGGGAGAGAGAAAGAUGAAGAGAAAGAGAGAGGCUAUAUGAAAUUGGUUUAUGCAGUUAGAGGCUGACAAAUUCCAAAUACGCAGUCAGGAAGCUGGAAAAUCAGGAGGUCCUAUGGUGUAAGUUACAGUGUAGAAGUCAACAGGCAAAAAUGUCAACUGUAUGAAUAAAAGUAUACUGAUUAAGCUAUAAUAAUCAAGAUAAGGUGUAUUUAGGAAGAAUGUAAUUUUUAACAUAUUAAUUUUAUUGGACUAAUGUUUGUUUUUUCCCUACCAUGUGCCAGGUACUGUGCCAAAUGCUAUGUACAUUAUCUCAAUUUAUCAUAGAGCAACUCUUUGAAGAAGCUACUAUGAUUAGCAACAUUUUGCUGAUGAGGAAACAAAGACUUAGAGAGAUUAGGUAAUUUGCCUGUGGUCCCAAAGCUAGGACAUGACUAAAUUGCAAUCCAAAUUUAGGAAAACCGCCUACAGAACUCAAAGCUCUUACUAAAACACCAUUCUAGAUUGUUUUCCCAGGUUUAUGUAUACUUAUAAAUAAAGCAAAAGAUAAGUCAAAAUGUCAGUAAAUUUCACUAAGUACAGCUAACCAAAGAGCAGAGUAUUUACAAAGUGAAUAGCUAGUGUUAUUAAAUGAGGGGAAUUGAAUAAAAGUCAGGAAGCAAUACAAUUCCAAGGCAACAAGAGAUACUUAAAAACACAGCAUACAGUCAUCAGCACAUAAGUUUGGACACAAUGGAAGAGAAGAUAGCUAACACUAGAGAAAAUUCCUAAUUACAGAGUAGAUGUUGUUGUCUUAGUACUUAUGAAUUAUUGGUGUAGUUUCUGCUGCAGUAGUUCCCAAAGAUUCCCUAAUAACCUUCAUAAAUUAAAAAAGUCAAACACAUUGAAGCAUCGGAUCCUAUAGUGAGUUACUACACUACUUUUGGUCCACUGUAGGUACUCGAAAUAUUUGAGGGAGGAAAGGAAAGAAGGAAAGGAGAGAGAGAGAGAGAGAGAGAGAGAGAGAGAGAGA